rnacentral:lncRNA from 12 species
UUGUACUUAAUUUUUUUUUAUUUUUUUUAAGAAGACUGAAUUUAUUUGAUCAAUAUUUAANCGAGCAACAGAUGACAGAGUUGCUCCAAAAACUGUGCAAAUACUGGUACGCCAAGAGAGACAGAGUGGACUUUAUACUGAUUCAGGAACUUCAUAAUGAGGAGAGAACUUGGCUAGACUACAGUGCUGACCAGUACACUGUGAAAAUGCAUCUGACUGAGGAGAUUUUCAGUCUUCUUUUGGAUGACACAAUAUUAGCCCUAAAUCAUAUGCACUUUUCAACCUAAAUGACAAGUUUCAGAAUCUUGACAUUUUCAUACUUGCAUCUCUGAUAUGUUCUUUGAUAUGUUGUUGUUUUCUUUUUGGGGGAAUCUUACAAAUCCUGUCAAGAGCAUGUCCAAGUCAUAUUUCACAAUUAUAUUUUGCUUGAACAACAUAAACCCGUAAAACUGUUUUAGGACCAUUUAGAACAGUUUUCUUGCAUUAAGAAAUGUUCAUGACAACUAAACACAUUUUCACAUAAUUUCCACUUUUGCAAUUACUGUUAAGAAAAAUAUAUUAUUCUCAUUACUGAAUUUCUUGAUAUUAUUCUUUAAAAAUGAUAUUAUUUACAUUUUAAAGUAUUUAUAUGUCAUAUUAGUAUUGUUUGUACUGCUUUUAAUAUCUGCUGAUUUAAGUCAAAAGUAAUCUAUCACAGUCAUUUGUUUACUCUAAUGAUUUAAAAGUAAUAGGCUACAUUAUUACAGUAAUGAGAAUAUAAUGCAAAUCAUCAUGGAGAAUAAUAGGAAUUACAAAAAAAAAAAAAACUACAUGUACUGAUAUAUUACAUUAAUGAGAAUUUCAGGACAAAAUUUGCUUAUGGUUAUACAAUGAGAACAAACACAUAAAAAUACAAACAAACAAAAGUUUUCUGUAUGCAAUAAAUUCCUUUUGAUUCUGUGAUGAGUUUACAUGAACUUUUUUUGUGAGAGUUAAUCUUUGUCUUUAAUCAUUCAUCAUAUCAAUCAUUAUUUAAUUUUUUUUUUUUUUUUACAAAAUCAAUUAUUUGUUUCUGUACAUUAAACUACACUACAAUGAAGAUUAAAUAUAUUUCAUUCUUAGCAAUAUUUGUGGUGUUUUUUUUUUUUUCAAACAAUUUUGCUUAUAUUAGAGUACCAUACACCGAUGAAUUGUUAUUCAGUAAACGCGCCACAUACAUGAUAUGCGUCGUCCAUACGCAGAUAGGAUGCGCAAGAUAGGCGCCUGCGUCCUCUUAGCGCAGUGACGAUGCUCUAGAAGACUCUCUUCCCUACUAAAUGUAGUCAUCCAUAGGAGCGAACAGAAUCAGUCUGAAUGUAGAGAAUUCAUUUUA